UAAUCUGAUUAAAAUGUUGCUUAUAAACUUUGUUUUCCCUGUCUCUUUAUACCAGGUCAUAUGAAUUGAAAAUAUGGAAGUUAUGAUCAACUCCGAGUGGCUUUCCGGAGCAUGUCGAUGGAUAAAGGUUCUCGAACAUGAGCUCUGAUUAAUAUGACCCCCGAAAUCAUAAAUUACGAACCUGAUCUUCCAUUAAGUUAUGAUAUGGAGCUAGCAAACCAAGAUUGUGAUGAGUUUGUGAAAUAUGGAAGCUGCGAGUCUGGUUCGAUGUGCAUGUUCAAUCAUCCAUGCCGCCGUAUCUUGACUAAAACUUCAAGGGGACGGACUGUUAUUGCUCUGCAACCUAUAAACUGAAGGAGCCUAUAAACUGAAGACGGAGCCAUAUUUCCCAUUCCCAUCAGAACAUUGUUUUGCAAUAUCACCAUGAACCUUUUGUCUGUUUAUUUUGUGGAUUAAAGCUGAGAUAAUUAACAAGCUUAAUCUAAGCUUAUAGCAUAGCUUCCUAUGAUUUAACAAUGGAGUUUUGAAUAAGUAUCAUGUUGUACAAUGCAUGAA